CAAACACAAUGUUUUCAACGUGCAGGUCAACCGCAAUACCCCUUCGCAGUGAACUGUGAAGAACCCAGAAUAUGUACCUUGGAUCUGAUUCCCUACUGCAUCAAGGGCCGGAGAGAUCCCGUGCGUGGACAUUGUGAGGUACAGGACGCCAUCUGCAAUGGCGAGGAGCUGGACCCCAGCCACAGCUGCUUUCUGCCCUACACCGUCAGGUGCGACCGACCGGCCGGCCAACGCCCUUGCUUUCGUGACCUCCGACCCUUCUGUGUGGUGGGACGCUCGGAGCCCGUGCGAGGUCACUGCGCCAUCCAGAGGGCCAUUUGUGACGAAAACUCCGUGCUUGAUGUCAGCAACAGCUGCAUGGAGUGAGACAAGCCUCUCCUUUCGUUAAACAUGUGCAAGUCAUUUGUUUAUUAUCUGUACUUACAAUAUUACCUUCAAUAAUUUUGUAUUAAUGAUGUGCAAAUAAAACUAUAUAACUUCC